ensembl:snRNA LOC120099408 U6 spliceosomal RNA
GUGCUACCUUUCACAGCCCAUAUACUAAAAUCAGAAUGAUAGAGAAGAUUAGCAUGGCCCCAGCACAAGGAUGAUAUGCAGAUUCAUGAAAAAAUAUUUUU